rnacentral:lncRNA from 1 species
CUUAAAAUUAGUUUUCUGUAGGCCUAAUCUUUUCAUUUUUUCAUAAAUCUCGGGGAGAAUAUUCCUACUAUUUAUGUCCUUAGGUUUUCUUAUUAGCCGCAUUAUUUCCUUAUGUAAUUUUAUUUUGUUCUUAGGCGGUGGUUGAUCAACUCUCCUUAAUAGUUUGCGCUCUCCCUCUCUAUCUCUCUCUUUGUCGUUGUGACGACGUCGUAUUAGCAUGGUGUAACUUGGCCAGAGGUAGAAAUUUAUUUUUCCAACGAUGGUCAACCACGAUAAAUGUCAGAUGGAAACUCAAAAAAGAAUCUGUCGAGGCUGGUAAAUGGUGAUAUUGAACUAAUGUAGUCGAUUUUGAGGGCAAUUUGUUUUUUCAUUCUGAAAUUAUUCAGCUUUGAGUAUCUUCUUGGAUUUCAGAUGCCAUAUUUUUUCUCUCGUUUUGAUUAUAUAAAGUGGCGCAAUUUCACAAAAAAUAAGGUAAAUUGGUGUAAUUUUACUUCUCUCUCUCUUGGUGAUUUAUAGUCUUUCGGAAAAUUAGCAUCUUUGCUUAUGAUGUGUUCUCAUUAACCAACAUGUAAUUCUCCAAAUCUCAUGUAAGGACCUUUUACGGUUAAAAGAAUGAUAAUUUCUUGAAGAGAAUUUCUUUGAUUUUAAUCAUUAUUCAAAAGUAAUUGCAGUGGUGCCUAUUGCAUUUGUAAUUUGAUUUGCUUCCAUUGGCUGAAAGCAGAUUGAUUGUGUUUUUCUUUUUGUGCCUGCUCUGGGAGGUCGAGAUGAGCUUCAAGUAAUUUAGGUUAUAUUUAAGUAAUUAUCCUUAUAAUUUGAAUGUAGUCAGGUAUAUUUGAUUUUACAUAAUGUACACAUGUACUACAACAAUAUAACUUAAAAACGUUAUAUUAAUUUUAGAUGAUCGUGAUUUUCGCUCUAACAGUUAAUUAGUACAACUAAUCAUGUGAUUGAUGUGCCUCCCAGUGAACUGACUGGACUCCAAUUAAUACAGGUGAACAAAUAGAGUAUAGUAGGACGCUUGAGAAAAUCACUUUACGUGUGCAAACCUACAGCGUGCCUGGUGAGUCACCAUUAAUAAUUGACUUAGAAAGGUGAACACCUUGGCUAGAAAAGCGCAGUGAAUAAAUAUUUGGUAAACGAUAUAUUCUUUUUCAAGAUAGAGGAACUUGAACCCUACAAUUUGGGAAGUCCAGAUUUCAGUACCAGCCUGUGGUUAGCAAGCAAGUUACAGGCUUCUUUACCUAGCUGAUUGUAUUUGUAAUACUCUUUUCGGUAUCCUUCCUAAUAAAUCUGAUGUUCUCAAAGGGACAUGUUUGUAAUAGUCUUGAGCUUGACCAAUGAUAACAUAAAUGCUUCGCUUGAAUGGAUUAUUCAUAUUUGCAUUAUAUGUUGCAGAGUUUAUUGUGGUGAUUUUAAAUUAUUUUUAUUUCUUGUGCAUUUCGUGUGUUUGAAUCAAUCUGCUGACACUUCCUCAAUGCCCUUUAGUUGCUUUCUCUCUCAGCAAAUAUUAACUUUUUUACUAUUUUUGUUGUGUCACUGACUUCUUCUGAGCACUUUCUGCAAAAAUUAAAAUCGUUAUUUUUGAGAACUAUACGAGUAUAUUUCUUCUUUUUCCAAAUGGAGCACGCAAAUUCUCCUCAACCGUCAAAGAGAAGGACUGCAGAAAGGGAUUAUUUAGAGAUAAUCCUGGUCUUAAUGACGAGGAGGAGAUAUUUUAGCAAGAGGGUGGAUAUUUCAAGAGACCAACUGAUGAAGUGAUCACAAGGAGAAGAAUUGUUAAAAUUCAUUGCCAUUAAAAGGCAUCAGCUACAACCGCUCCUUUAUCUAACUCUUCUUACAGGGAUCCGCUUGAUUCCACCUACUGAUAACAUACCACUUUAGAAGCGCAGUAAAAAGACGGACAAGGUAAGACUUACCAAUUAUUUUCUCAAGAAUCUGAUGUCCUCUUGCUGAAGUAAGAAAAAAGAAAAAGAGAUCCAAUAUAUUCUAUUGUUGUUAAGUUCGUCGCCGUUACACCGUAAGUUUGUGAUAUUUUGUGUCUUUUUUUCUUCCUCUUUGUGGAAUUAACCACUAAUGCUUUAUUUGGGCAUGUUACCUACAUCACACCCCUCGGUUCUUUCCCUGACACUGCGUCAAUGCAGGAUAUUUUUUGCACUAGGCUGCCCUUUGUCUGUUUUCUUGUUUUGGAUCUUGCUGAUUGAUCUUUUUGGAGAUUCAAAAUCAAAAUAGUCCACAGGUUGGUAGUAUAUGUUCAUAGCUGGGCGACUUUGGAGAAUAAGAAUUUUUUAUGUGAGAGUUAGGUACAUUUCACAGAUAAUUUAAACCUCGCCAUAGGCAAAAGCCUGGUAUUAAAGUGUAUAAGGGGUGAUACUCGGACAUUAUGCCUAUCUAUGACAAGUAUAUUUGAAAUUGGGAUGUAAUUUAGGUUAUAUUCAUUUGGUAUUUUGUUUGAAAUCGUACAUUUUUUUCUUGCAGUGUUAGUGAUUUUAGGACACGUAAUUAUCCUUCUAAUUUGACUGUACUCCGGUUAAUUAAUUUGAUUUUAUAUAAAUGUAUACAUGUACUACAAUAAUAUUAACGAUCAUUAUUUUUGCUAUAACAUUUUAUUAGUACAAUUGACUAUGGGAUUGAAGUGCCUCCAAAAAAGUAGUAAGAUUUUUUUAUUGGUUGUUUUAAGUCUCAAAAAAGAUAUGGAUCCAACUAGAUCAUAUAAAUAAAAAGGAAAAAGAAUCAUAUUCCUUGUUUAAUGCUGGAUCAUAUCAAAAUAGAAGAAGAUUAAUACUGUUGUGGUACUCAGCCAGAAGAGGAUUUGCCAGCUCUAUGGGAAAUGAACUCAGACCAGCAUUAUACUUUUGGGAGGCAUGAAUCAAGUUUAGCUGCAGAAAACUCGAGGUACACAUGAUAUAUGUUCUGUUAGUAGUAGAAAAUUUUAAUAAUUAAACUCCUUUGCUAUUGAAAUGUUUAUAUAACUGGUGUCGGUAAUUUCUUAUACAUACCAUCAUCAUACUAUGUUUUUUCAGGUGGACUAUUUUUAUGAGUAUAGAGAUGAAAAGAAGAUGCAAAAAUCUUUAUAAAAAGGAGAACCUCUAGGGUGCCGUUAUUGGCUUUUUUGGUUAUGUGGGGGUAGACCAGAGAAAUAAAUGUAUAGAUGAGUUUACAAGUUGAUUCAAAUAUUUUCUUGGUUUCUUCAAUUUGUGUGCAAAUUCUUGGAAGCCAACUCAAAUUUUGGAUGGGCAAAAAAAGGAAGGUAUAGAUUCAGCUUGGGACAUCAAGAUCUCUAUCUUGUUCCUCUCUAUUCCAUAUUAUUUUUAAUGUUUGAAGGUCGAAACUUUGUCGAACAAACAUUUUAAUAUCAUAAAAUUUAUGUUAAUCCGCAAGGAUUUCGCUAUUUUUAUGUUCAUUUUUCACUGUAAG